GAAUGCUGACAUAAGUAACGAUAAAGCGGGUGAAAAGCCCGCUCGCCGGAAGACCAAGGGUUCCUGUCCAACGUUAAUCGGGGCAGGGUGAGUCGACCCCUAAGGCGAGGCCGAAAGGCGUAGUCGAUGGGAAACGGGUUAAUAUUCCCGUACUUGGUGUUACUGCGAAGGGGGGACGGAGAAGGCUAUGUUGGCCGGGCGACGGUUGUCCCGGUUUAAGCGUGUAGGUGUGUGUUCCAGGUAAAUCCGGUUCACUUUAACACUGAGGCGUGACGACGAGGCACUACGGUGCUGAAGCAACAAAUGCCCUGCUUCCAGGAAAAGCCUCUAAGCAUCAGGUAACAUCAAAUCGUACCCCAAACCGACACAGGUGGUCAGGUAGAGAAUACCAAGGCGCUUGAGAGAACUCGGGUGAAGGAACUAGGCAAAAUGGUGCCGUAACUUCGGGAGAAGGCACGCUGACACGUAGGUGAAGUGAUUUACUCAUGGAGCUGAAGUCAGUCGAAGAUACCAGCUGGCUGCAACUGUUUAUUAAAAACACAGCACUGUGCAAACACGAAAGUGGACGUAUACGGUGUGACGCCUGCCCGGUGCCGGAAGGUUAAUUGAUGGGGUCAGCGCAAGCGAAGCUCCUGAUCGAAGCCCCGGUAAACGGCGGCCGUAACUAUAACGGUCCUAAGGUAGCGAAAUUCCUUGUCGGGUAAGUUCCGACCUGCACGAAUGGCGUAAUGAUGGCCAGGCUGUCUCCACCCGAGACUCAGUGAAAUUGAACUCGCUGUGAAGAUGCAGUGUACCCGCGGCAAGACGGAAAGACCCCGUGAACCUUUACUAUAGCUUGACACUGAACAUUGAGCCUUGAUGUGUAGGAUAGGUGGGAGGCUUUGAAGUGUGGACGCCAGUCUGCAUGGAGCCGACCUUGAAAUACCACCCUUUAAUGUUUGAUGUUCUAACGUGGACCCGUUACCCGGGUUGCGGACAGUGUCUGGUGGGUAGUUUGACUGGGGCGGUCUCCUCCUAAAGAGUAACGGAGGAGCACGAAGGUUGGCUAAUCCUGGUCGGACAUCAGGAGGUUAGUGCAAUGGCAUAAGCCAGCUUGACUGCGAGCGUGACGGCGCGAGCAGGUGCGAAAGCAGGUCAUAGUGAUCCGGUGGUUCUGAAUGGAAGGGCCAUCGCUCAACGGAUAAAAGGUACUCCGGGGAUAACAGGCUGAUACCGCCCAAGAGUUCAUAUCGACGGCGGUGUUUGGCACCUCGAUGUCGGCUCAUCACAUCCUGGGGCUGAAGUAGGUCCCAAGGGUAUGGCUGUUCGCCAUUUAAAGUGGUACGCGAGCUGGGUUUAGAACGUCGUGAGACAGUUCGGUCCCUAUCUGCC
rnacentral:rRNA from 2 species